GAUGAACGCUGGCGGCGUGCCUAAUACAUGCAAGUCGAGCGAACAGACGAGGAGCUUGCUCCUCUGACGUUAGCGGCGGACGGGUGAGUAACACGUGGAUAACCUACCUAUAAGACUGGGAUAACUUCGGGAAACCGGAGCUAAUACCGGAUAAUAUAUUGAACCGCUUGGUUCAAUAGUGAAAGACGGUUUUGCUGUCACUUAUAGAUGGAUCCGCGCCGCAUUAGCUAGUUGGUAAGGUAACGGCUUACCAAGGCGACGAUGCGUAACCGACCUGAGAGGGUGAUCGGCCACACUGGAACUGAGACACGGUCCAGACUCCUACGGGAGGCAGCAGUAGGGAAUCUUCCGCAAUGGGCGAAAGCUUGACGGAGCAACGCCGCGUGAGUGAUGAAGGUCUUCGGAUCGUAAAACUCUGUUAUUAGGGAAGAACAAAUGUGUAAGUAACUAUGCACGUCUUGACGGUACCUAAUCAGAAAGCCACGGCUAACUACGUG
rnacentral:rRNA from 1 species